AAUUUUGGACAAUGGGGGAAACCCUGAACCAGCCAUCCCGCGUGUAUGAUGAAGGCCUUCGGGUUGUAAAGUACUUUUGGCAGAGAAGAAAAGGCGCAGGCUACUACCCUGUGCUGCUGACGGUACCUGCAGAAUAAGCACCGGCUAACUACGUGCCCGCCUCCGCGGUAAUACGUAGGGUGCAAGCGUUAAUCGGAAUUACUGGGCGUAAAGCGUGCGUCGGCGGUUUGGCAAGAAAGGUGUGAAAUCCCAGAGCUUAACUUUGGAACUGCACUUUUAACUGCCAGGCUAGAGUAUGUCAGAGGGGGGUAGAAUUCCGCGUGUAGCAGUGAAAUGCGUAGAGAUGCGGAGGAAUACCGAUGGCGAAGGCAGCCCCCUGGGAUAAUACUGACGCUCAGACACGAAAGCGUGGGGAGCAAACAGG
rnacentral:rRNA from 1 species